AAUCUGAGACCUCAGCUCAGGCGGGGCUACCCGCUGAGUUUAAGCAUAUCAAUAAGCGGAGGAAAAGAAACUAACAAGGAUUCCCCUA
rnacentral:rRNA from 2 species